rnacentral:rRNA from 1 species
CAUGCAAGUCGAACGACCCCUUCGGGGGGAGUGGCAGACGGGUGAGUAACGCGUAGCAAUCUGCCCAUCACUACGGAACAACGUCGAGAAAUUGGCGCUAAUACCGUAUACGUCCUCCGGGAGAAAGAUUUAUCGGUGAUGGAUGAGGCUGCGUUAGAUUAGCUAGUUGGUGAGGUAAAAGCUCACCAAGGCGACGAUCUAUAGCGGGUCUGAGAGGAUGAUCCGCCACACUGGGACUGAGACACGGCCCAGACUCCUACGGGAGGCAGCAGUGGGGAAUAUUGGACAAUGGGCGAAAGCCUGAUCCAGCCAUGCCGCGUGAAUGAUGAAGGCCUUAGGGUUGUAAAAUUCUUUCGCUAGUGACGAUAAUGACGGUAGCUAGUAAAGAAGCCCCGGCUAACUCCGUGCCAGCAGCCGCGGUAAUACGGAGGGGGCUAGCGUUGUUCGGAAUUACUGGGCGUAAAGCGUGCGUAGGCGGAUUGAUAAGUUAGAGGUGAAAUCCCGGGGCUCAACCCCGGAACUGCCUUUAAAACUGUCAGUCUAGAGUUCUGGAGGGGUAAGGGGAAUUCCUAGUGUAGAGGUGAAAUUCGUAGAUAUUAGGAGGAACACCAGAGGCGAAGGCGCCUUACUGGACAGACACUGACGCUGAGGCACGAAAGUGUGGGUAGCAAACAGGAUUAGAUACCCUGGUAGUCCACACCGUAAACGAUGAGAGCUAGUUGUUUGCAGGCAUGCCUGUAAGUGACGCAGCUAACGCAUUAAGCUCUCCGCCUGGGGAGUACGGCCGCAAGGUUAAAACUCAAAGAAAUUGACGGGGGCCCGCACAAGCGGUGGAGCAUGUGGUUUAAUUCGAAG